UUAAAACACAAUUUCUUUUCCUAUUUUUUGUUUAAGAACCAAUUAUGUUUGUUUCUAGUAUAUAAUUAUUCUCUCUUUUCUGUUUUUACAUAAAAGAUGUGGUAUUUUUUUCUGAACUAAUUAAGACUAGUCACCAGCACAGCACCAAGGGCGAUCAGUGCCCCAUGCUGCCCUCAUUCUACAUGGGGAACAUAUCUACUUCCCAAGGAUAUCCCUAAAAGGGAUCAUGGAUCUCCAGUCUGAAGUCACUCAGACCAGUCAAGUGGAAAUUUGCCUUUGAUUUGCCAGAACUACAGCUCACAUAAAGGUCUCCUCCAUCUUCACAAUGGAUGUCAACACAGAUCGCCAGGGCAAGUUAAAUUUAAAGGCUUUCAAAUCACUUUUCUAUCUGCCAGUAUUUAGUUGUUUUCUUUUUCUUCUAUUAUAGUUUUUUUGUCAUUUUCCUUAUCAUAAAAAAAAAGAGAAAAAAAAAAAAAAAAGCUAUGAUAUUUCUCUUACUCUUAUAUUUUACUAGCGAGUUCAGGCUGGCUGGGUAGUAUUGUCCUUCAAGGGAGUUUUGCUGGACAGGAGGAGUAGUCAUGGUCAAUAAACCAGAAGGAAAAAAUAAGAUUUGUUUGGUUUGGAUCUCAUGCUAGGCACAAGAAAUAUUAUAAUCACUUCUCAAGAGAGAACAAAGAAAAUUAAGUGAUGAGCUGAGCUCUCUCUGGAUCCAUCACAUCCUCACAAGCAUUUCUCUGAAUGUACUUAAACAAACUGAGAAGGAAUUAGGCAUGCAAUUCAGGCUAUUUACCAUCAUGAAGAACUCUGCACAGACAACUUGGAAAAGGGACCACAGCACUACACAGGAAUCAAUUUAUUUCCAUGGCCAGUGACUUCCCUAACCUGUAAUAACAUCAACAUAUAAUUAAAAUGAAUAUUAUGCUGGAGAGGAAUCAUGUGAUCUUUUUUUUUUUUUUUUUUUUAAAGUCAUUGACCUCUGUUGCCCAGAAUCAUUAUAUUUAAUCUGAAUUUUGCAAAUAAUUUUCCUUUGUGUGAGUGUUUGUUAUUAUGCUGGUAAUUUGUUUUGUUAGAGUGGUUUACUAGUUGGGAGCUAAUGCAGUGAUUUAUAUU